ACUUAGCAAUACUAUAAUGCAUGAAUUUGCAGAUUAUGAGCAAUGGGGUAUAUAAAAGUGUCGAACACCGGGCAAUAGUGAAUUCCACGAAGGAAAGGAUUUCCAUUGCGAUGUUUUUUGGCCCCAAGUUUCAAUCUGAAAUUGGACCUGCACCUAGUUUCAUUGAUCAAGAAAAUCCCCCUCUGUAUAAAACGAUGAAAAUGGAAAAAUAUGUUAAAGGUUUUUUCUCUCGCAAGCUUGAUGGAAAGUCCUACUUAGAGCAUAUGAAGAUCACAGAUGAAAAUGCUACCAACGCCACUGAAUAGCCAUUCCAAUUAAUAUCAGCAUAUACAUCAUUAUACUGAAGGUAUAUAUAUGUUUGUGUGUUUACUCAAUGUAUAAAACCCUAAAGUGAUAGAUAUAUCCUACUAGCUGAUACCACUGUAUGCCUCGCUCUUAUAUGUGAAAUAUUUGCCAAUAAAUAAGAGCAUGUGUAUAUACUUUUGAUAUAA